AGCAGAGUGUGUUUGAGUGCGAAUGUGGGAGAGAGAUAUGAGGGUGUGUCCUCGCGUUGGGGAUAUCCGUCGUCCUUUCUCGUGUGCACUGCAUCUGGCAACGGAGGCGGUCUCUGCCCCUUGGGCAUUUCAAUCGAAUAAGACUUGCUGCUGACGCGGACGUCCCGGGCAACGGAUCGUUUCUCUGCUGUCUUCGCAGUGCGGUGACCCUGGGUUAGAACAGAGGGCUCUUCAAGCGACCAACGUUGAUUAGCAUAUAGCACCAAUGAAUAGAGGCAUGCACUGAAUUUCAAUCUAAUCUCCUCGUGGAUCAAGGAAUUAAGAGUCACUUCACUGAUUUUCUUCCAUUAGUCUGCACGAGGGCAGUCUUGUUUAUUUAAAGAAGUGCUUUUUGUCCAAUCAGUAAUUAUCAUAAUUGCUUGCUUCAUCAAUCAAUACAAUAUCCCAACGUACAGUGUCCAGGUGAAGGGCGCCAUCUGAAGGAGGAGGUGUUAAUGUCACAAUUAUGUUUUGAAAACAUUUUAUCCCGUAAUUUACCGCACGCUUUACAUCAAUGUAAAACAAUGUAACCAACGAUUUAACAGAUUACAAUGAACAAAACA